rnacentral:rRNA from 1 species
GACGAACGCUGGCGGCGUGCUUAACACAUGCAAGUCGAACGGAAAGGCCCUGCUUUUGUGGGGUGCUCGAGUGGCGAACGGGUGAGUAACACGUGAGUAACCUGCCCUUGACUUUGGGAAAACUUCAGGAAACUGGGGCUAAUACCGGAUAGGAGCUCCUGCUGCAUGGUGGGGGUUGGAAAGUUUCGGCGGUUGGGGAUGGACUCGCGGCUUAUCAGCUUGUUGGUGGGGUAGUGGCUUACCAAGGCUUUGACGGGUAGCCGGCCUGAGAGGGUGACCGGCCACAUUGGGACUGAGAUACGGCCCAGACUCCUACGGGAGGCAGCAGUGGGGAAUAUUGCACAAUGGGCGGAAGCCUGACGCAGCAACGCCGCGUGCGGGAUGACGGCCUUCGGGUUGUAAACCGCUUUCGCCUGUGACGAAGCGUGAGUGACGGUAAUGGGUAAAGAAGCACCGGCUAACUACGUG